AAAGUAAUUCCUGCCUGCAGACUCAUCUUCUUUGCCUUUGAGGAGGUACCACUUCAAUCAAAAUGGCCAGCAGGUUAUGCAAGAAACCGAGAAUAGAGACUCAAAGUGACAUGAAAACUUGAAGAGAUGAGUAAAGAGACGAAGAAGGAAGAGGAGGAGAAGAAGGAGGGGGAGGAAGAGAGAAAGAAAAAAAAAGUCCUAAGAAAUUAACAGUUAUUUAUAAAGCAUUUGCCAUGAUAUUCCACGUGCUUUACAUACAUGAACUUCUUAUUACCCACAAAACCACUUUGAGACCAUCUCCAUUUUAGAGUAGAAGAAAGGUAAAAUACCUGACCCCGGAACAUACAAGCUGUAGAUCAUACAGGCAACCCAAAAUUUAUAGCUAAAAAAAAUGAUGCUUUCCAUCAUACCAAAUCCUUCCUUCCUUAAAUGCAGGGAGAAAUUAAGGCUUAUGUAAAGAUAGAGGAAGGUAAAAAUGUUAAUGUUUUAUGGAGAAAUAAAAUUAGUGUUUUCGCUCUAA